rnacentral:lncRNA from 1 species
CCCUCACCACAACCCUAAGAGCACACUGCACAGUCACACCUUGUGUGUGUAAGAAGGAAAAGGAUCACAUGUCUCCCCAGUGAACCACAGGGUAAAUGAACCAGUGACCCUGAGAAAUAAACAAUCUGCCUGGUUCUUUCAUCUCUGCAAAGGAAGUUUCUUUCUGUUCACUACUUGACUAGCUGGAAUUCCACCCAGGAAGACACAGCAUUCCUAUCCUCCAGAGGAUUUGGCUCUCAAGAUGCCAUCUUGGAAGCAGAAAGCAGCCCUCACCAGAUGUCAGCACCUUGAUCUUGGACUUCCCAGCCUCCAGAACUGUGAGAAAUAAACUUCUCUUCUUUAUAAAUUACCCAGUUUGCGGUAUUCCGUUAUCAUAGCACA